rnacentral:rRNA from 1 species
AUUGAACGCUGGCGGCAUGCCUUACACAUGCAAGUCGAACGGCAGCACGGGAGCAAUCCUGGUGGCGAGUGGCGAACGGGUGAGUAAAGUAUCGGAACGUGCCCAGUCGUGGGGGAUAACGUAGCGAAAGUUACGCUAAUACCGCAUACGAUCUAUGGAUGAAAGCGGGGGAUCGCAAGACCUCGCGCGAUUGGAGCGGCCGAUAUCAGAUUAGGUAGUUGGUGGGGUAAAGGCUCACCAAGCCGACGAUCUGUAGCUGGUCUGAGAGGACGACCAGCCACACUGGGACUGAGACACGGCCCAGACUCCUACGGGAGGCAGCAGUGGGGAAUUUUGGACAAUGGGCGGAAGCCUGAUCCAGCCAUGCCGCGUGCAGGAUGAAGGCCUUCGGGUUGUAAGCUGCUUUUGUACGGAACGAAAAGGUUUGGCCUAAUAAGCUGAGCUCAUGACGGUACCGUAAGAAUAAGCACCGGCUAACUACGUGCCAGCCGCCGCAGUAAUAC